AAUUACUUUGAAUUUGUACUCGAGUAAAACUAGAAGUAAUUAACAAUAAAACGACUUGAGUAAGAGUAAAAAGUACUGGAAGCAAAACGUACUUAAGUAAAAAGUACAAAGUAUCCUUAAAAAAUAUUUGAAGUACAAAGUAAAAGUAAAAGUACUAUUGUCUGUAGCCUGUAGAGGGGGAGGGGGACUUCUCCAAUGGAUUGACAUACAAAAGACACAAAACAGCACACGCAUUAUAUGUGUGCACCGAAUAUACAAUAUUUCACGGCAUGGUCUACUUUCCA